rnacentral:lncRNA from 10 species
CAGAAACCCAACACAUGUAUAUCUGAUGGACUGACUGGAGUUCAAAAAAAUAGAUGAAGGAAGAUUUGCUGUUAUCUCAGCAAGAAGAUAAAAGAUUUGGAGACUGUGAAGUUUAAGAUUCGACAACCAGCAUGGUCGGUGAGGGUCCUCUUCGUAGUUUGCGGAUGGCCUUCUGCUUAUAUCGUCACAUAGUGGAGGGGAAGAAAGAGAGGAAGAGCCAGAGAGCCAGAGAGAGGGUCCCCCCUGUCUCUUGUUAGAAGGAGACUAAUUCUAUUGUGAGGGCUCCACCCUCAUGACCUAAUUACCUCCCAAACGCCCCCCCAUCUCCAAAACCAUCACAUUAAGAAUUAGAGUUUCAAAAUGUGAAUUUUGAGAAGAGAUGCCCGUUCAGCCUAUAACACGUUGGAAAGUGGAACUGUAGGGGAGGAACUCUAUCUGGCAUCGGAGCCAUGGAGGAAACUCAGUAGCUGCUGCAGGUGCUGCUUAAGACAGAAGGAGACAGUGAUAUCAACUCUCCACCUUCCACCAGGGCUUCCCACUGGCCCGAGCUACCCGGAAACACAUAGGCAAUCCUGGGAAAGGCAUCCUUUUUCAUGGAGGGGUUUGUUAGAGAAGGGAGAAGGGAAAAGGAAGGAGCCUGAGGUAUAGAGCUGAUGAAGCCCAGAGGAAGACUGGAAAGAGGCCAUUUUCAGUUUGAAAUCUCUAUAUUUAACAUAAACAAUCUUCAAAUUUUAGAUAAGAACAUUGUUGCAAUAAUGUGACUGGCCUGAGUACAACUGAGGUGUGAUGCUGUGAGUACCUUCCAUCCUGCCUCUCCCACUCACUGCACCUAAAAAUCUUGGACACAAUGUAUGGAGCUGCUAUUCAAGAACUCUGAAAAGUAGUGGCAGAGAUAUUGUGGAAGAAAACCAGAAUUAGAAGUUCUCUGAAUGGUUGAUGAGUUUAUCAUUUUUAUUGCUCCCCAGUAUUUCUCAACCUGGUUUCAAUAAAGCCUCAGAUCUUCAAACAGAAGAGCUGAGGAGAAGCCUUCAGCUCCAGCUCAAGGAUUAGGAAAGGAGGUUCAUAAUGCUCAGAGAGAAAAAUGGAGAGCUCUCAUUUGUUUUCUUUUCAUUUCUGUCUCUUGCCCCAGCCUAUGGUGAUUAAAACUCUGGGGAAGGAAAAAUAGCCUCUCUGUUAAGAGGAACUGUGGGUACAAAAUUAGGGGCAUACCUUACUGCUUUUUAUGUCUCUCUAUUCUCCCACUGCUUGGCUCCAGACAUGAGCACAUUCAAGGGAAAUGAGUGUCAGUACUGAGUAAAUAAUAUCCCGUAUUUCCAGCUAGAUGAGUCACAGUGAAUCAGAAAGUACUCAUGACAUUGCAAAGAGGGAGAAGCCUGGGACAGUGACCCUAUAGUUUAUAAGCUGUUGAAUCCACCAUUGAGCUCUACAUAUGUGGUUUUAACCCUAAGCAGUAUACCGUAGACUUCGAAACUGAACUAAGAUGUAGAUCAGUACUCAGGUCUCACAAUGGCCACUGGGUAGUACAUAAGUAGGGAAGAUCCACAUGGUACUAAAAAGACUUUGACAACAGAAUUAACAUUGUAACUACAACCGAUAGAAAGCUGGUUCGAACCUGUGGCCUGAAUGUCAUUGGAUGUUUUGCCUAUUAAAAAAAAGUCAACAUUCUACAUAGAAUUUAAUAAGACUCAAAGUCUCAUAAUGUAAUAUACAAAAUGUUCAGGAUACAAUCCCAACUUACUUAGAAUAUGAAGAACCAGGAAAAGCUCCAUUUGCAUGGAAAAAGAUAAUAAAUAAAGACCAACACUGAGCUGACAGAAAUGCAAAAAUUGUUUGGCAAGGACUUUAAUAAUAGCAAGAGCUAUUUUUUAAAUGUUGCAAAAAGUAUGGACAAAAACUCUUGAAAUGAAUGGAAAGCUAGAAAGAUAAUUAUGAAGAAGAAUUAAAUAAAAAUUCUCAAGGUAAAAUAAUAAUAAAAAUUUUAAAAUAUCACUUGAUGGGCUUAAUAGCAGAAUGGAGCUAACAGAGAAAUAAAUAAACUUGAAAAGAAAUCAACAGAAAAAAUGUAAUCCUCUUAACACAGAAAAAAAAUUCUUUUUAAAUAAAUGAACUCAGAAAACUGUGGAGAAAUACCAAAAGACUUGAUGUUUGCAUAAACAAAAUCUUAGAAAAAGAAGAGAAAAGUGUGGUGUAAAAAAUAAAUUUAAAGAAAUAAUAGAUAAAAACAUCCCAAAUUUAGUGAAAACUUAACGUACCUAUUCAAGGAGCUGUUUAAAGCUCAAAUAGGAUCAACAUAAAGAAAUCCAUACCCACGACACAUCACAAUCAAACUGUUGUAAACCAAAGGUAAAUAAUCCUGAGAGUGGCCAAAGGAAAAUGUCACACUACUUCUAACAGGAAAUGAUUUCCAAAAACUGGAGAUUUCUCAUCAGAAACAACAAAUGCCAGAAGGAAGUGGAAUAACUUUUAUUAAGUGAUCAAAAAAAUUGAACAUCGGGCUUCUAUAUGCAGCAAAAAUAUUUUAAAGAAAUAAGGAUGAAAUGGAGACUAACGAAGGAAAAAAUAGAAUACUCAGAAUUAGCACAACUGCCUUAAAAUAAUUACUGAAGAAAGCUCCUCAGGCAGAAAGGAAAUUACAACAUAAGGAAGUUUUGAACAUCAAGAAUGAAAAGACCAUAAUAGAAAUGAUAAUAUAUGAGUAAAUAUAAUAGACUAUUUUUAUCUUCAUAUUUUUAACAUAUAUUUGAUGGAUGAAAGAAAAAAUAACAUUUUCCGAUGGAGUUUUGAAGUAUGUAGAUAUAAUAUGUAAGACAACUACAUUGACAAGAAGGGUAAAAAAAGCCUAUAUGGUAAUAUAAUUUUUAUAUCACACUUGAAGUAGUAAAAUUUUGACCCUUAAUAACCUGUGAAAACUAUGCAUUUGUAAACUCUAGAGCAGCCAGUAAAGAGUGGCUCAAAGAAAUAUAGUAAAAUACAAUCAAUAAUAUAGUAAAAUAUAUUGAAAUAAGAAAGCAAAAAAAGGGGAGACAUCACAACAAAUAAUAAAACUAACUUUCAGAAAAUAUAUAAUGGUAUACCUAAUUCCAAACAUGUCUAUCAUUACAUUAAAUGUAAACAAAAUAAACAUAUAAAUUAAAAGUCAGUGAUCAUCAACAUGGAUUUGAAAUAAAGUUUUAUAUAUAUAUAUAAAAAUAUAUAUAUACUCCAUGCAAUAAUGAAUCAAAGGAAAGCUGCAGUGUUUAUAUUAAUAUCAGAAAAAGUAGGCUCUAGAGCAAAGAAAAGUUUUAGGAAUAAAUAGGGACAUUAUGUGAUGAUAAAAAGAAUCAAUACACGAUGAUAAAAGUAGUUCAGCAAAAGACUUAAUAAAUCUAAACGUGAAUUCAUCUAACUAAACACUCAAAUACAUAAAGUAAAAACUGAAAAAACUAAAGUGAAAAGGAGUUAAUAUCACCGAUAUAGCUGGAAACUUCAACACUACUCUCUCAGUGAUAAAUUGAACUAGUAGUAAAUAGAAAAUCAACAAGGUGUAAAACUGAACAAUGUGAUCAAUCCACAGAAUAUAAGUGACAUUUAUAGAACACUCCUUUCAAUAAAAACACAAUGCCCAUUAUUUUCAAAUACAUAUGGAUAAUUGCUAAGACAGAACAUAUCCUAAAUGAUAAAGUAACUGUUAACAGACUUAAGUGAAAUAAAAUUGUACAAAGCAUAUGGAAUUAAACUAAAAUUAAUAAUAUAUAUCAGGUAAAAUCUCCAACACUUGGGAAUUAAACAACCCAUUUUUAAAUGAACCAUGAUUCUAGGAGUGACCUUCAAAGAAAAUAAGAAAGUAAUUUAAGUUAAGUGGAAGUAAAUAACAUAUUAUAAUUUACCAGAAAUUAGAUGAAAUGCAGGUAAGGAAGAGCUUAAAGGAAUAUUUAUAGUGUCAAAUGCUUAUCGUAGAAAAAGAAAAACUCAAAUCAAUAAACUAAGCAUCCACCUAAAUAAACCAAAGAAAGAAGAACAAUAUAAAACCAAAGAAAGCAGGAGAAAGUAAAUAAUAAAAAUAAAAGCAGAAGUCAAGGAAAUAAACACCAGAAGUGAAACAACUUUUGUAAAGUGGUGAAAGAAAAAAAAAGGGAAACCAGAUAAUCAGAAGUAGAGAAAUAGAGAAAACUUAGGAAACGAAAUCUGGGUCUUUGAAAAAGUUAAUAAAAUUGAUAAAGUUCUAGCAUGACUGACAAAGAAAAAAGAGAGAAGGCACAAAUUGCCAGUACUGGAAAUGAACAAAAGGCUAUGACUACAGAGCAUUCAGACAUUAAAAUGGCAAUAAUGGAAUAUUAUAAAAAACUCUAUAUAAAUAAAAUCAACAACUUAGAUGAAAUGGACUAAUGAGUUGAAAACUACACGCUACCAAAACUCACCCAAAAUGAGGUAAAUAAUCUGAAUAGUUUUAUAAUUAUUUAAAAUCUUAAAUCUAUAAUUAAAAUCUUCUGAAUAAGAGGUCUACAGGCCAACAUAGUGUCUCAGAUGAUUUCUACCGAACAUUUAAGGGAAGUCCUAAG